UACGUAGGUGGCAAGCGUUGUCCGGAAUUAUUGGGCGUAAAGCGCGCGCAGGCGGUCCUUUAAGUCUGAUGUGAAAGCCCACGGCUCAACCGUGGAGGGUCAUUGGAAACUGGGGGACUUGAGUGCAGAAGAGGAGAGUGGAAUUCCACGUGUAGCGGUGAAAUGCGUAGAUAUCUGGAGGAACACCGGUGGCGAAGGCGGCAUCCUGGACCGGCAUUGACGCUGAGGCGCGAAAGCGUGGGGAGCAAACAGG
rnacentral:rRNA from 1 species